GGCCGCGGGACCCGGCGCGGAGCGGCGCAGGCUGGGGCUCGGGCUCCCCGACCGCUACCGCUUCUUCCGCCAGUCGGUGGCCGGGCUGGCGGCGCG
rnacentral:miRNA from 1 species